CCUACGGGAGGCAGCAGUGAGGAAUAUUGGUCAAUGGGCGGGAGCCUGAACCAGCCAAGUCGCGUGAGGGAAGACGGUCCUAUGGAUUGUAAACCUCUUUAGGCGGGGAGCAAUGCCGGGCACGUGUGCCCGGAGGGAGAGUACCCGCAGAAUAAGCAUCGGCUAACUCCGUGCCAGCAGCCGCGGUAAUACGGGGGAUGCGAGCGUUAUCGGGAUUUAUUGGGUUAAAGGGGUGCGCAGGGGGUCUGUUAAGUAAGCGGGAAAAGCCCGGGGCUCAACCCAGGCGAGCCGUUGAAACUGGCUGGCUGGAGUUGGAGAGAAGUACGCGGAAUGCGCGGUGUAGCGGUGAAAUGCUUAGAUAUCGCGCAGAACCCCGAUUGCGAAGGCAGCGUACCGGCUCCACACUGACGCUGAGGUACGAAAGCGUGGGUAUCGAACAGGAUUAGAUACCCCUGUAGUC
rnacentral:rRNA from 1 species